AGUGAAAUUGUUUCACAAUACUUCCUCGCAACCCUCAUUUAUCUCCUUCAUAAAGGAGAAGUGUUAAUCUAGUGGCAUAAUAAUAAAUAAGUUGAAUAUAAAAAGGGGAAAGUUAAUUUUUUUUUUGUUUGGUAAAAACAAGUUCCUGUUCUUCUUCUUGAAUGAAAGUAUGAAACCAUCUCCUCCUCCUCUUAAUUGAAACCCAUCAGCCAUCAGCCAUCAGCCAUCAGCCAUCACAUCCACCACGGCAGCACCACUACUACCUUCCUUCGUCAUCCCGUUAGAGAAGUGUGUUGUUGUAUUUGCUUAACUCAACAGUGGUUUUUUGGGAUCCAAGUUCAAGUCUAAGAGUCAAACUACUACACAAGAAGUUUGGGGUGAAUGAAUGUCUCUUCCUUGGCAACAGUAGAAGAACAUAAAGUUAUAAGUCGAGCUCCUUCCUUCCUCAUCACUUGAUGUCGUGUGUUGGUACGUGAUGGGAGUUUGUAUAUAGAACAGACCGAAACAACCUUGCUUCAGUGGCAUCUGGAUGACUUGCUGCAAGGAUUCCCUAAUUUAAGACCUGGGGUUCCUCAUUCCCUGGUUCAAAUAGGCCAUGUUAGUUUUGGACUGGAGGAAGUAGCUACAAGAGUUUACUCAGCUGACGCGGAGUACAUGAACUCUUUGCAGGUGUAAACUAACUUGAUCUUAGUACAGAAAAUGACAGAUGUUUGUGCACAAUGCAAGACAUGGAGAAAAAAGCAAUACUGGAAUGCAUUUCCUGAUAACAAACACCAUUUUUUCAAGAUUAUGCUAGGAGACUUUGAGAGCUAUCUGAGAAUUCCGAGGAAAUUCAAAGACGAGUACAAGGAGAAACUAUUACAAAGGGUGACUCUUAGAGGACCAAGUGGAGACUGCUGGACAGUGGCGCUUGCACAAAGAGGAGAGGACAUUGAGCUGAGAAAUGGGUGGCGAGAUUUUGUUAAGGACCACAGCCUAGAAGAAGGAGAUUUUCUAGUCUUCCAGCAUGUUGAAAAUUCAUUGUUUAAUGUGCUGAUGUUUGAUAAAACUGGGUGUGAGAGAGAGGACUCUCACUUUGUUAUACAAGAUAGGGACAUACGUGCUGAGAACUGUUGCUACAUGCGCGACAAUAAAACAGAUAGACCUUCAGUGUUUGCUUAUGAUCAGCAAAGAUUUGAGGAGGACGAGGUGGUGCAUGACAAGAUGGAUGACGAUGAAGAGGAGGACGAGGAUGAAGAAAUCCAACAAGAAACUAUAGGAACAGGAAAAAAUUCACGGACUGGGAAAGGGAAGUGCUAUGAAUCGAACAGAAGACCGUUAACAAAAAAGGAUAAGGAGAGAGCUUUUCGUUUGGCUUCCAAGCAUUCAACGACACGACCUUCUUGCAAGAUCAGGAUGAAGCAGAGCCAUGUUCACCAUUUAUUUAUAUUGACAAUCCCAAGGGAGUUUGCAGAUAACUGCCUUCCCAUGGUGUCUCAAGAAAUUAGGCUGAGGGUCGGUUCCAAGAUCUGGCGAGUUAGCCUUAACCGUAGGAAUGUUCAAUGCACACUGAAUAAAGGGUGGGCACAUUUUGUGCUUGACAACAACUUGGAAACAGAAGACUAUUGUGUUCUAGAGCUGGCAGAUACAGGGACAAGCCGACAGCCACUUACCCUGGAUGUUCACAUAUAUCGAGCUGUGGAAAAAAUAGUUCCUUUGAAAGUAAUUUUGCCUUGACUAUUAAUGUUAUCUGCAAAAAGAUAUAAUAGUCAAAAGGUUUCGUAGCCUUUUCAGCAACUAAUUGUAUUCUCUUAAAGGCAAUGGGGCUGAAAGAUACAUUUUAUUGAAUAUUGGGAAAGUGAAUACCUUCUAAGAGUAGAUACGCCAUUGCAUGAUUCAGAAGACAGAAGACUGCCAUCCUUCUAAUUACGUUACUUCAGAGAUUAGGCCAUUUUUGCAUAAGAUGCAACUUCUCAAUGUGGAUGGCGUGUAUCAUUCACUGCUGGACAAGCGAGAUAAAAAGGACCCUCCAGAUUUAUGGAGCAUAGAAGGAAAAAUACCGGAGGUCACUUAUACAACAUACUCAUCAGCAUUGACAAAAGUACAGCUAUAUAGCCUGUAUGACCUUAUAG